rnacentral:piRNA from 1 species
UACACCCUGGUAUACAGAAAAUUACAAA